rnacentral:lncRNA from 1 species
GUGCGGGGUUCAGGCGGAUAAGAUCGUCUUUCGUCGUCGGUGUUUGCCGCUUCUGCUGUUGAGUUGUGAAGAGCUAGCCGGCCCUCCCCACUGGCCACCAUGUCCGCCCAGGCGCAGAUGCGGGCCCUGUUGGACCAGCUCAUGGGCACGGCUCGGGACGGUUCAGUGUAUCUUUGCCUGCCUACAUCAAUCUGCAAGGGAGUUGCAGAAAAGCCUCAUGUUCAUCGAGCCGAGAUGAAACCAGACAGAGGGUCAAGUUUACAGAUGACCGUGUCUGCAAGAGUCACCUUCUGGACUGCUGCCCCCACGACAUCCUUGCUGGGACGCGCAUGGAUUUAGGAGAAUGUACCAAAAUCCACGACUUGGCCCUUCGAGCAGAUUAUGAAAUUGCAAGUAAAGAAAGAGACCUGUUUUUUGAAUUAGAUGUAAGAAUUUUUUUUCUUUUGGAUGUUGAUUUAUCAGUGCUGCAAAGUAGCAAUUGCUAUUGAGAGUAAUGUUAUGUUUUUAAGUUACAAAAAUAAUAUGUACUUAACC